GUGCGUAGGCGGUGCGGCAAGUCGGGAGUGAAAUCCCUUGGCUUAACCCAGAGGCUGCUUCCAAACUGCUGUGCUCGAGUGUGAGAGAGGCUCGUGGAAUUGCAGGUGUAGCGGUGAAAUGCGUAGAUAUCUGCAGGAACACCCGUGGCGAAAGCGGCGAGCUGGAUCACUACUGACGCUGAGGAACGAAAGCUAGGGGAGCAAACAGGAUUAGAUACCCUGGUAGUCCUAGCCCUAAACGAUCAGGACUUGGGGUGCCGCCCGUUCGGGCGUCGUCCCGGAGCUAACGCGUUAAGUCCUGCACCUGGGGAGUACGGUCGCAAGACUGAAACUCAAAGGAAUUGACGGGGGCCCGCACAAGCGGUGGAACAUGUGUUUCAAUUCUACGCUACGCGAGGAACCUUACCUGGGCUCGAAAUGCUUAGGACCGGCUGUAGAAAUACGGCCUUCCCGCAAGGGACCUGAGUAUAGGCGCUGCAUGGCUGUCGUCACCUCGUGCCGUGAGGUGUUGGGUUACGUCCCGC
rnacentral:rRNA from 1 species